UUCUGGUUGAUCCCGCCGGACCCUACUGCUAUCGGGGUGGGACUAAGACAUGCGAGUCGAGCGUCUCUAGCUAUGUUGAGACGCGGCAGACGGCUCAGUAACACGUGGCUAACCUACCCUCAGGACAGGGACAAACCCGGGAAACUGGGGCUAAUACCAGAUAGGCGAGGAUGCCUGGAAUGGUUUUUCGCUCAAAGGACCUUGGAAACAUGCUUUCAAGUCGCCUGAGGAUGGGGCCGCGUCCGAUCAGGUUGUUGGUGAGGUAACGGCUCACCAAGCCUAUAACCGGUACGGGCCGUGAGAGCGGUAGCCCGGAGAUGGGUACUGAGACAAGGACCCAGGCCCUACGGGGCGCAGCAGUCGCGAAAACUCCGCAAUGCACGAAAGUGUGACGGGGCUACCCCGAGUGCUCUCCGCUGAGGAAAGCUUUUCUCUGGUGUAACAAGCCAGGGGAAUAAGGAGAGGGNCAGACUGGUGUCAGCCGCCGCGGUAA
rnacentral:rRNA from 1 species